GUGAACGCUGGCGGUAGGCCUAACACAUGCAAGUCGAACGGCAGCACAGUAAGAGCUUGCUCUUACGGGUGGCGAGUGGCGGACGGGUGAGGAAUACAUCGGAAUCUACUUUUUCGUGGGGGAUAACGUAGGGAAACUUACGCUAAUACCGCAUACGACCUACGGGUGAAAGCAGGGGAUCUUCGGACCUUGCGCGAUUGAAUGAGCCGAUGUCGGAUUAGCUAAUUGGCGGGGUAAAGGCCCACCAAGGCGACGAUCCGUAGCUGGUCUGAGAGGAUGAUCAGCCACACUGGAACUGAGACACGGUCCAGACUCCUACGGGAGGCAGCAGUGGGGAAUAUUAGACAAUGGGCGCAAGCCUGAUCCAGCCAUACCGCGUGGGUGAAGAAGGCCUUCGGGUUGUAAAGCCCUUUUGUUGGGAAAGAAAAGCAGCAGGUUAAUACCCCGCUGUUCUGACGGUACCCAAAGAAUAAGCACCGGCUAACUUCGUG
rnacentral:rRNA from 1 species